GUGCACCCUUUGGCAGCACAUUUACUAAAACUGCAACAAUACAGAGAAAGUUAGCAUGGACAUGUACAAGGAUUAUGUGCAAAUUUGUGAAGCAAUUCCCCACCCUU